rnacentral:rRNA from 1 species
CCUACGGGGGGCAGGAGUCGAGAAUCAUUCACAAUGGGGGAAACCCUGAUGGUGCGACGCCGCGUGGGGGAAUGAAGGUCUUCGGAUUGUAAACCCCUGUCAUGUGGGAGCAAAUUAAAAAGAUAGUACCACAAGAGGAAGAGACGGCUAACUCUGUGCCAGCAGCCGCGGGAAUACAGAGGUCUCAAGCGUUGUUCGGAAUCACUGGGCGUAAAGCGUGCGUAGGCUGUUUCGUAAGUCGUGUGUGAAAGGCGCGGGCUCAACCCGCGGACGGCACAUGAUACUGCGGGACUAGAGUAAUGGAGGGGGAACCGGAAUUCUCGGUGUAGCAGUGAAAUGCGUAGAUAUCGAGAGGAACACUCGUGGCGAAGGCGGGUUCCUGGACAUUAACUGACGCUGAGGCACGAAGGCCAGGGGAGCGAAAGGGAUUAGAUACCCUUGUAGUC